rnacentral:rRNA from 1 species
UGAGGAAUAUUGGUCAAUGGGCGGAAGCCUGAACCAGCCAUUCCGCGUGCAGGAAGAAGGCCUUAUGGGUUGUAAACUGCUUUUGAAUGGGACUAACCCCGGAGACGAGAUUUUCGGGAUGCAUGUACUGUUCGAAUAAGCAUCGGCUAACUCCGUGCCAGCAGCCGCGGUAAUACGGAGGAUGCAGGCGUUAUCCGGAAUUAUUAGGUUUAAAGGGUGCGUAGGCGGAGAGAUAAGUCAGGGGUAAAAUCGUACAGCUCAACUGUGCCACGCCUUUGAUACUGUUUUUCUAGAGUAGAAUCGAGGUAGGCGGAAUGUGCAGUGUAGCGGUGAAAUGCGUAGAUAUUGCACAGAACACCGAUUGCGGAGGCAGCUUACUAGGUUUAUACUGACGCUGAGGCACGAAAGCGUGGGGAUCAAACAG